GGUGCAUCAAGCCAUACCUGUCGCAAGGCAGGGACGGAAAUACCAGGAUCCGCGUUGGCCUUGGGAGAGGCACAACGAACGCGGACGGCCGGUUGCCCAG
rfam:Thiobacillus sp. SCN 64-35 ABS91_C0005, whole genome shotgun sequence.